GCAGUCACGAACUCGCCAGCAGCUAGCAGCACUGACUAGUAGGAGGGCCCGCCGGAGGAGAGGACAUGCUCUGGAGUCAGAAGACAGCGAAAAGAGAAGCAGAAGCCCCGGUGGCAAGAGUCUGAAGCAGGAAGGAUGACUGUAGCCUGUGGAUUGUACUGCAGUAGGAAACUGUCCUAGCAAGGCUCCACUUUGCCCCAGCUUCAAGCUGGAAAGGAGGAGAACAUGAAACAUUGCUUGAAGACAAUGGCCGAGACAGCAGGUCCCACCCUGCACAGCCACCAGCAUCUCUCCCCUCAGCCCUGUCUCCUCUUCUGCAGUUGGGAUCUGCACAUUUAAGCCUGAAAUUGUCCUGUGAAGUGAAGUAUGAUCGGACAGCCUCUUUUCAGCUUUUAUGACAAUGGAGACAGAGGAAUUGUGGCUCUUGCCAAGGUCACAGGAUUGGAAUACAGAGCCAAGCCACCCCAGGACAUGCAAGAGCCUCAGAAGGGAAAAAAGCCCAGCAGGAAGGGAGAACAAGUAGCCUCUGUCCUGAAGUUGUAACAGCCAGGGGCCAGGAUGGAGGAGGAGGACCCCAUAAUCUGCCCAUCUGGGACUUGGCAGGGGACCUGGGAAAAUGUACCCCAACCCAUCCCUUAAGGGCCUUUGUCUUUGGCCCAUUGGCCUAGCAUCUACUUCUUCACCGUGUCUGUUCUUGUCACACCUAGUCAGGUCUGUUUGGGUCUGAGGUGCAUGGAACAUUCUGGGUAGGCCUCCAGCAAACGGAAGCUCUUCACCGUGUUUCCAGCCUGGGACCAAGGGCAGCAUACUGGCAAAGUUGCCAAAGCAAGGGACUCCAGCCUCUUAGGAGUUAAUGACUCCCUCUCCCCAGCUGUCCUCCCCUUGGUGCUCCUCUUCCUCCCUCCUCCUGCUCACAGCAGGCAGGGCCUAGACCCGGGAGCCAUGCUGCUGUGCUGUUGCCAGGGGAGCACGGAGGCAGAUCUGAGCUAUGCAGGGAAAAGGCCCAGCCUGUCAAAGUGUCUGAGAUGAACCGCCGCCGUCCCUGUGCAGCUGGGCUCAGACGUGUCUCAGCUCUUGUUCUGUGCCUGAGAAUGGCGAAACCCAGUGAGGUUCAAGGGCAAACUCGCUAUUCAUUAGUCAGGGGUUCUUGACGUCCCGUCUCUCCCAGGGAUGAGUUCCCCCCUCCUCUUUCUCCCCCUCCUAUGACACAUUCCUGGGUGCCUUUGGUGAGGACUGCACACCCUCCUCCUGCCUAGCCCCCUCUCCAAAGGCCCCUGAAUAAACUCCCCCCAAGGAGACCAGGCAGGGCAGAGACAAUGGCUGCAGGAAAUCAUUCAGGCGGGACAUGCUGGCCUGCCCUCCACCCAGUCCCCCUGUGGGCCCCACUCCCUUCUGAUUCAGGGCACCCUUGGGCCCCCAGCCUAUACAGGCCUGGACAGGAAGAAACCACUGGGAACCACCCUAAGGACAACAUGCUAGUCCAGUGCCAUUCUUCGCUGGCUCUGUGGGUGCCUUUGUGGCCUGUACCGACUGGCUGGCUAAUUUUGUGGUUUCUGUACCAUCACAUGCCUAUUUUAAGACACUCUCCAGCACUGUCGGUUAGGGAGUGUAAAUUUUGCAAUAUUUUCUGAAAUGUGGCAAUAUCAAAAUGUAAAAGGCACACAUACUUGGUCACAAACAAAUGGCACUAUUUACUCUGUGGGCAUAUUUGUAAAAGUUGCCAAAGAAUUAUAUACAAGGAUGUUCAUCAGAGCAUUUCUUUUGAAGAGUAAAGAAAUGGACAUGAACCUGUGGUCCGUUCAUACGGUGGAAUACCUAUGCAGCUGUAAAAAUCAGUGUGGUAGAUCUCCGUAUAUGAGUUGAUGUGGAAGGUUGGCCAGUUCACAUGAUAAGGUGAAUAGAAUAAGUUACAGAACAGGCUGUAGAGUAUGAUCUUAUUUGUAGAUGUUUAAAACUGAGUCAUAAGUAUGCUUAUAUACAGAUCGUUUCUGGAAGUAUGUACUGGAAGUCUACCUCUGGGGAGUGGGGAUGGGGGAGUGCACUCUUCUAUACUGUUAUAUUUUCUUUUCAUGCUCCUAAGGUACUUUUAUUGGAAGAUGUAAAGCGGUUCAAUGUAAUAGGCUUAACUUCUGUCAACUAAGUUGGCGUGGGUGCUUUAAGAGGGUGGUAGUGAUGUUGCUGGAGAAAGUAUCCCACAGUCACUGGUGGCUUCAGCCACGGGCCAUUUUGGGGCCUAAUAAUCACAUAUCAUCAUGGUUGCUAGUGUUAAUCGAAAACCUACUAAGUGCCAGGCUUACUGUCUCUGGGUCUUGCUUACGUGGAUGUCAUUUUUCCAGUUGCACCAAAUCGAAAGAGGUUAAUUGGUUUGUUGGAGUUCCUUUGUAGGUGAAGGGCAGAGCCAGGAGCUUGGCUAGGGACAGGGGAGGUGAGUGGGGGAUGGUGGAUAGGUCUUGGCUCCCAGUUUCCUUCUGGGCAGACAUUGCCCCUCUGCCCUGAGGACCUGCUUGUUUGGGGGAAGAGGCCUUUAGAGGCACCAGGGUCAUGCCAGGUGUUGGACAUGGUGAACUGGGAAGUGCUCCCAUCUGGCCACAGCGCAGAAGUAUCACCGUGCUGGGGGAUGGGGAACAGGGCUGUGAAUGGGCCUAUUUGCAUAAGCAGCAUGUGUCUGGAGAGAAAGACAUCACAGAGCAGAAGAGUGCGGGUGCCCAGGAGUGCACUUGCCACCCCUACUUCAUCCCUGAAAGAGUAAAUGGCCUGGAAGGUGUCUCUGAGAGGUAAUGCCGCACACCACCCUCCCUGGGGGCAGGGUCAGGCUACACCUGCCUUAGGUCGGGGGCUGCAGCAGCCUGAGAGCUCUCAGUAGGGCCUCAGUAGCCUGGGAGGGAGCAGGGGCAGGGGGCAGGGAAAGAGGCGUAAUGGGGCUGUCCAGAGGGGCCUGGGAAACCUGGUCCCUGAGGCCUGGGCACAGCUACAAUCACUUCAAAUUGGCUGUGGGGCCAGUGGACUGGGAAGGAAAAAAGCAAUAAGAGUGACCAAGUGCAGAAGGCUGUCAGGUCCCAGGUCACAUGCCUUAGUGCAGUGACUCCUCAUCAUUUUAUGGGGUGUGGGUGUCGUUGGUACACCCAUUUUACAGAUGAGGACACCGAGGCCCAGAAAAGUUAAGUUACAUGUCCUAAGUCACACAGCUUGUAAGUGCCAGAACUGAGAUCAAAACCAAGUCUCUUUGACUUUAAAGUCUGUACUCUGACCCCAAAGAGAUCCUGUUUGGCCACUUAUAGGAGGUCCCUAAAGCUGCAGACUCCCCUUGCCGGCACCCACAUAUAGAGACAUUAACCCUUCCCCUGCAGGGUCACCUCAAAUAGUCUUUUAGCUGGGCUUCUCCUGCAAUUCCACCUAAUGCCAUCCCCUGGGUUUUGCCCAAACCUGAACUGGGCAGUGGGGUGAGAGGAGGGGUUUACAGGGUUACAGAGCCUCAUACAGAUAGGAGCCCAUGGCUGCUGGUCAUCUGCAUUCCUGCAGGAUUGGCUGUUCCUUGGGGUCCUUGGCAGGAAAAUGAGGAUUGCUCCGAGGCCUGCUCCAGUACUUCCCAGAGGCUGGCCUGGUGUGGGGCUCUGGGAAGGCUGAGGCUGGAGAAGCGUAAGUAGGAGGGCAGAGAUGGCACUCAGGUAGCUUGAAUCACCAGGACCCUUCCAAGCCCCACAGGUUCUGAGGGAGUACUAGGGCCAGCUCUGGGAGAGGUCUCUUCCUAUGCUGUGAACCCCCUGCCUUUCUUGCAGCCUACAACGAAUAAAUUUUCUUUGCAAAGG
rnacentral:lncRNA from 1 species